rnacentral:rRNA from 1 species
GACGAACGCUGGCGGCGUGCUUAACACAUGCAAGUCGAACGAUGAAAGCUGGAGCUUGCUCCGGCUGGAUUAGUGGCGAACGGGUGAGUAACACGUGAGCAAUCUGCCCUUGACUCUGGGAUAACUCCGAGAAAUCGGUGCUAAUACCGGAUAUGACCCUUGGCGGCAUCGCUGGGGGUGGAAAGUUUUUCGGUCAAGGAUGAGCUCGCGGCCUAUCAGCUUGUUGGUGAGGUAAUGGCUCACCAAGGCGACGACGGGUAGCCGGCCUGAGAGGGUGACCGGCCACACUGGGACUGAGACACGGCCCAGACUCCUACGGGAGGCAGCAGUGGGGAAUAUUGCACAAUGGGCGCAAGCCUGAUGCAGCAACGCCGCGUGGGGGAUGACGGCCUUCGGGUUGUAAACCUCUUUUAGCAGGGAAGAAGCGAAAGUGACGGUACCUGCAGAAAAAGCACCGGCUAACUACGUGCCAGCAGCCGCGGUAA